GCAGAGUAGGCUGUAAAGCGACAGUGACAAAAGGACGGGAAGUUGCCUUUUGUACGAAUUGAUAAUCGGGCAAAAAAGUUUAUCAGCGAUUUUACCGCCGCAUUCCGCUGC
rnacentral:ncRNA from 1 species